UGAGUGUUCAGUUCCCUGUGGGCGAAGGAGAGAGGCUGUGAGCUUGUGUACGCUCUGCAAAGGAAGAAGGGGGAUCGUGCGAUUGCAAACUGUUCCCAGCUUCGCURUACUGCUGAUGGAAAACAUGCUAAAUGUCGGCUGACCUGAUCCAUGGCUGCGUUAAAAAUGUGAUAAUUGGUCAGUUUUUAGAAAUUAGAACUCCUCUUCCAGAAACUAAAAAGAGAAGAUGCAGUCCAGCAGAUCUUAUUCAUGAAAAAUUCCCAAAGCCCUUUUAUUCAGUGGGAGUUUCACACUGAGAAAGGCCACAAGAUGAGGUAAGAAGAACUGUUUUAAUCUGAGCUAACCAAAUUUGUGG
rnacentral:lncRNA from 1 species